CAAUCCUUCCAGUGAAUAUUCAGAGUUGAUCUCCCUUAAGAUUGACUGGUUUGAUUCCUUGCUUUCCAAGGGACUUUUAGGAGUCUUCUCUGGCACCACAGUUUGAAGGCAUUAAUUCGUUUGCAUUCUGCCUUCUAAGGGCUAAAAGCAAGAAAGACUUGGAUGCGGAUCUGUGGUAACCUAUGCCCCGGAAGUGAAUUUACUGAACUAGACAGCAAUGCUGCAAGUACAGUAUCUUUCUUCCGUCCUCGUGGGGGGCCAGUGGAGGUUGGUGGUGGGCACUGGCAAGAGUGGGAAUAUCUAAGACCCAGAGAAACCUGCACAUCUUCUAGAUGAGGCAACAGAUCCAGAAUGAUCAAGAUGUUACCCUAGGAUUUAACAGCACGUGAGGGGCAAAGCCAGGACCCCAGCCUUGGCUUUCCAUGCCUGGCCCCCAUCCUGGAGCCCUCCCACACACAGCUCUCUCUCCAGAGCAGAGAGCCAAGACGGUGACUCACAACCCACUUGGCAGUUUUGCUGAUAAAUUUUUUGUUUUGAAGCAAGAGGUUCUGCCUCUAUUAAAGUCUUUAGGAAAUUAUAGUGAUCUUGACUUUUUCAGACAUGUUUGAAUUACUCACAGUCUGGAAUUCCCAGGCAGAGGGUGAGACCCAGAGAGGCUGCAUGCAUAUAAGUUAGGGGCUCAGGAUCUGGUGUCGGAUGGAUCUGAAUUCAAAACUGUACUCUGCCACUUAGUAAUUGUGAGCUAACCACUCUGAGCCUCAGUUUCCUCACUGGUUUUGGUAACGAACAUCAUGAUUUUGCUGGAGUUGCUGUGGGACUAAAUGAGGUCGUGAGCAGAGAAGGUGUGGCCCCUGAAGAAAUGGGCAGUGGAGUCAUUCCCUGUCUGAGCUGGAAGGCUGGGGUCUUGCUCAACAAGUACAGAAUAGGCCUGUGCUAAGACCUUAUGGAUCACAGGCAGGGCUGCCUCAAUUCUAACGCAACUCCAACUGAACUGGGGCCUAAAGGACUUGCCCUCUCCGAGGCUGUUUCCCUGAAGGAAGAAUGAAUACAGGUCAUGACAGCGAAGGUCUAUUGCAAGGACCUGCAUAUUCAGUGCUUAGAAUUGCUGCCUGGCAUACAACUGGGGCUCAGGGAUGAUCGUUUCAUCGCUGUCCCUGUUCUUGCUACCUGUGUUUCCGGCAGGGCAGCAACGGCUCAUGCAGAGGUAGUGGGAGAGUUUCCAUAGCUCUGUUUCUGCCAAAUAUGGUGUGAAUUAGAAACUUCUCUUGCUAGGUUUGUGGCUAAGCCUUUGCCAAUGCUGUUCCAAUGCUAAGAAGUCCCUUACUUCUCCAUCCCUGUCUCUUAGCAUCCUUCCAAGGGCCUAGCCCACAAGGCUGAGGAAAGAAUGGGAAGAACUUUCCUGGUCUCUCCAGUCUGCAGCCUUCACUGAAAGUCCAACAUAUACUUAAUGAGUGUCCAACACCAAGCUGACGCUAACUUCUCCGUUCUUUUUCCCCAGCCCAUUUCUGUACUUGAACUCUUAAAUAUUCCACCUUAUCCUGUAGCAUGAUUUUUCUUUCUAGAUUUUAGAAAGCAAAGGGCCUUAUAAAACUAGCAGCCUCUAGGUCUUUUCUGACUUUUCUCCUUGCCCAUAGACUCACCCAAGGGGCAGAUGUGUCUGUCCCCUACCCCCAGCCAAUGGCAGAUGGAUCUGAGCAUGCUCAGUAGGAUCGAGGUGGGUACCAUCACCCAGCUGGGGAUUCAAAGCCCUUGAGAGGUAGCCCCCAAGAAAAGACGAAGGCUUUAAACUGUUAUUGUGUGUCUUCUCUCCGUGGGUUGCAUGGAGAUCAAAGCCUGAAGGAAGUAGAAGGUUGCUCUCUGACAAAAACACCGUAUUUUUAGAAGCGCUUGGUGGUUUAGGAUGUUUGCCCCAAUGCUGCCUUUCAGUGGCAGGGGGUGGGGCUGGGGGUGGAGGCCGAGGGAUGGGACCUCAGGCUGAGGGUUGGUGGGAGUGGGUUUCCUGGCAGCAGAGGACCUGAGGGUGGAGGCUGAGGGGACACUCCAUAUCACUUUUCUUUCCUGAAGAGCCCCCAGACCUGACACUUGGGGAGUAGGCAGGCAAGGGGGGUGCCUGUGAGGCCUCUGGCUCCAUCUCCUUUCAAAGAUGGGAGCACUAAAGCCAAGAAAAGGAGCAGAGAAUUGGCUAAUUUCCACCUCCCCACUCCCUCCACGCUUCCCUGUCUGGGGAUUUGGGACUUGCAUACAUGAAACCGUUAAAGAACAAUGCAUGCAUUCUGUAAUCAGUGCUAAUUGGUGUGGUUCAGAGGAGCAGGGAGGAAUGGCAGGCAUUUGGGGCAGGACAUCAGUGGGCUGUUAAACCAACUGCUCACGAAUAGCCCAUGGAGAAUUGGAAUCGCUCCUGGGGUCUGGAAAGGUAAACCGUGGGUAGUGAGAGGAUAACCCCGCAGCCGUGGGCAAAAGUUAGGAGGCGGAAACUCACUGGCCCUGAACAUAGGGAAUGAUGGGAGACACGCGGUGGGGGCAGGGGCUUGACAAGACGGGAGGGGGCCUCUCUGCACUCCCAUUGCUUGGAGCCUGCCUCACUAAGUUCUGUUGAGCCUCAUUUUCAAUGGUGAUGGGGAGAGGUGAACUGGCUACUCCCCAUACCCAGAGGGGAGCAGAGAGACUGUUGGGGGGCUGCCCAGCCCACCCCACCUCUCUCCAGGGCCCCUACCUUAUAAUCAGGAUGGCCCUUCCUUAAUGUUUAUGCCAACAUCCCAAACAGCCAGGCUGGGAUGGUGAACUAUAAUUUAUAUCAUUUUUCAUAUGGGUUAUAGGCUCCAAAGGCUUAGACUCCUUCAAAUGGGAACCACAUUGAAGAAGGGGUAAACCAAUGUUAGGAAAUCUGGUCCCAGGAAGCCACCUGCUUCUCAUUUGGGAUGUUCCUGGGUUUAUUGUUUGUUUCCAAGGCCCAGCUGGAUUUGAGAGAUGGCAGGGCUGCCAUGGAUCACUGCCCUUGCCAGGCGUCCGUGCUGAGGCUGGGGUGAGCCUCUACUCUGAGUGCUCGGAGCCUCUGGUGUGCCCCCACAUGGAGCUCUGUGGGGGAAGCUGUGUGGGAGCACGCUCUCUUUGUACUCGCAUGUCUCCAUGGAGCAAAGCCAGCUGGAGACAACCGAGUCUGAGCAAAUCCCCACGGCCUGUGGGAGGCCUGGUGCCCCAGGCUGGUUCGGGGGAGCAGGAUCUCUGCGCCUCCCCCAGCCACUGCUUCUUGCAAACUGAGAGGCAGGGCAGCAAACAGCCCAGGAAGCUGGCUGCAGUGAAGAUGAAUGAACCGAAGCGCCUCACGACAACAUGGAUGGAUCUUAAGCACAUGGUGUUGAGUGAAAGAAUACAAAUGAUGGACUCCAUUCAUACGUGGUCCCAAACCAGCAUUCUUCAUGUCCAUUAUCUGAUCUCCCAACCCAUGGAGAAGACUGACGUCGGUAUGGUGGCCAGCACAAGCCCCAGGUAAGGAAUCCCAGAGAUCCCCAGCAUGCAAAGCAGAGGGAUUAGAAAUGGCUUGGAUCAUACAAACUGAGGCUUGAAUCUGGUUAACCAGCUGUGUGACUUUUGGUGCCCUGGUGACUGUGAGCCAGGGUGGGACCUCUGGCAUCUGAUGUCUACCCAGGCUCUGUGCUGACACCAGCUUACAGGACACCCCCAGCUCAGUAUGCUUGCCUCUGGAAUUAAUUUCCUUUCUCAAAUCAGAUUAACUUCAAAGUUUUUAUUCAUUCUUUUAAAUUGACUUAAUGAUUCAUUCUUCCUAAUUAACAGAUAUUGGAAAAGAAAAGAAACAGUAUGGUUAGAACUAGAGUUCUCGCAUUCCACGCCCCUCCCUAGAGGGUAUCAGUCUUUUUCAAUUCAUUUUCAUUUAUAUGUGUAUAAAUACACAGACAGAUAAUUUUGUUUAGUGUAUGUUGGAUUGUUUUUAAGGUUUUUUUUUUAAUUGAAAUACAGUUAAUGCACAA